rnacentral:misc_RNA from 1 species
GUAGGUGAACCUGCGGAAGGAUCAUUAACGUAUCUAAGGCGUUCGGUCGCGCGCCCUGCUCCGAUCGAAAGGUCGUGCAGCGGGCCGAGGCAGACGUCUAACCUUCACAAACCCCACUGUGCACCUUCACGGCAGCGGCCGUCGGGCGAGAGCCUGUCGGUCAAAGCCGUCUCUACAAACACUAGUAACAAGAAUGUCAAAGCGACUCUGUCGCCCAUUAAACAUAACAACUUUCAACAACGGAUCUCUU